rnacentral:tRNA from 1 species
GCCCCCUUUGUCUAAUGGUUAUGACGUCAGACUUCUACAGGACUUCUACUCAAUAUAGGGGCGAUCUGGAGGUUGCGGGUUCGAGUCCCGCAGGGGGUU